rnacentral:lncRNA from 1 species
UCAUGUUUCUGUAAUUUAGGGGGGGAUGUGAUGGUGGUGCAAGGCAUGAAUUGUAUAUAUAGAGUCCAUAUUGAAGUGUGUAAUGUAGGCCAUAUGUCUUUUACGGGGUAUAUACUUCAUCAAUUUUGCAAUUUUUUUAUAUAUAUUUUUUUAAUUUUUAUUUUGCAUUGGACCAAAUAAAAAAAAACACACAAAGUCUAAUGCAGUACCUACUUCAAUAGGAUCGUAUUGUAACUCUAUUGUGCUCUUAUUCAUGUCAUAUUGCUAUUAUACGCAUGUGUAUUGUGGAUUUAUUGCCGC